AGAAAUUUUCGUUCCAUGGCCCAAAUGCCCCAAAACCCUAAUUUCUCACCCCUUUUAUCCCCUUUUUCCCGAUUCUCCUCCGCCGUCAAAUCUCAGUUUUGCUUUUUCAGUUCUUUUACUUUGGAAAUCUAAAUCAUAAACAGAAUCAUCGCCGCCAACCAUGCCGCCGAAGUUUGACCCGACCCAAGUCGUCGACGUCUUUGUUCGAGUCACCGGCGGUGAAGUUGGAGCUGCCAGUUCACUGGCACCCAAAAUUGGUCCACUGGGUCUCUCGCCCAAAAAAAUUGGUGAAGAUAUCGCGAAAGAAACCGCCAAGGAAUGGAAGGGUUUACGUGUCACAGUCAAACUGACUGUCCAGAACCGUCAAGCCAAAGUUACGGUGGUUCCCUCUGCCGCCGCUUUGGUCAUCAAGGCACUGAAAGAGCCUGAGAGGGAUCGUAAGAAGACAAAGAAUAUUAAACAUAAUGGGAACAUUAGCCUCGAUGAUGUGAUAGAGAUUGCGAAAGUGAUGAGGCCCAGAUCCAUGGCCAAGGAUUUGAGAGGAACCGUGAAGGAGAUUUUGGGAACUUGUGUCUCCGUCGGUUGUACGGUUGAUGGGAAAGACCCUAAAGACCUGCAGGAGGAAAUUUCUGAAGGGGAAGUCGAUGUUCCCUUGGAGUGAAAAACAAAGGGGUACAAGUAUUUCAAUGGUAGAUGGGUAAACUUCAUAUUAAAUGUUGGUAAACCACAUCGGAGCUCAUCCAAGUAUUAGUUUAGGGUUCGACGAGUGCUGAUGUUAACAUCCCUCCCUUUAAUUUGUAAUAUAAGCUUUGAUUGUACCCAAAAAAUAAAUGCUUUUUGGUACUGCCAUUGCUGUUUUAAUGCUUUCUGCACGUGUGAUUUGUGAACCAUGUGCUAUAUUGUCUACUUCUUUGUUGACCAAUAA